UGCGGUGAUAUAGUGUUGAAAUACCGGUUCGCGUACGGUCACCGAAGUUAAGCAACGCCGAGCCUGGUCAAUACCUAAAUAGGUAACCGCUUGAGAAUACCAGGUGCUGUAA